GUUGAAAUGCUUUCAAAAAGUAUUUAAUUAAAAAAUUUAAAUAAAGAAGUCAGUCUCUACUACAUGACUCUUACACAGUUUUGAGGUAUUUAAUAAUUUUAUUUCUUUUUAGUAAUUAUGGAUAUGUUUGAUACAAAGAUGAACAAGAGCCAUAUGCUCUAAUAUGAAAUUGACACUGAGGUCUAAGAUAAAUGUUAUCUGAGAAAAAGAAAAUAGAUAGUUGAAAAGGUAUUAUUAGGACCUUAUACUCAAAUCUCUCAAGAAAGAGUCAUUUGUUGAGUCAAUUUGCUAUGUGUCUCAUUAUACUAUGUGUAUUUCUCCACGACUGCAGCAGUGAGGAUUUAUCCCUUCUCAGGUGAAUGAAAAAGAGACCAAGUGAAAAAAC
rnacentral:lncRNA from 1 species